CUACGGGUUGCUGCAGUGAGGAAUAUUGCACAAUGGGGGGAACCCUGAUGCAGCAACGGCGCGUGGAGGAUGACGCAUUUCGGUGUGUAAACUCCUUUUAUAUGUCAAGAAAAUGACGGUAGCAUAUGAAUAAGCACCGGCUAACUCCGUGCCAGCAGCCGCGGUAAUAGGGAGGGUGCAAGCGUUACUCGGAAUCACUGGGCGUAAAGGACGCGUAGGCGGGUUGGAAAGUCAGGUGUGAAAUCCUACAGCUUAACUGUAGAACUGCACUUGAAACUUCUAAUCUAGAGUAUGGGAGGGGGAGAUGGAAUUAGUGGUGUAGGGGUAAAAUCCGUAGAUAUCACUAGGAAUACCUAAAGCGAAGGCGAUCUCCUGGAACAUUACUGACGCUAAGGCGUGAAAGCGUGGGGAGCAAACAGGAUUAGAUACCCUUGUAGUC
rnacentral:rRNA from 1 species